rnacentral:misc_RNA from 1 species
AUUUUAAAAAAAUAAUAAAAUAAAAGUGAGAAACCCUUUAAGAAAGAGGGACAACAAUAGCAUCAACUGAAUAGGAAAGUAUAAAUAAAAACGAGAGGGGGAAAAAAACCAUAACUUUGUAGAAUAAUACAUAAAAUAAACAAAGGAAAAAACGAGGUUAGGAAAAUUGUCAGUACUUCUACUGUUCUUAAAACUCACAAGAAUCAAUAACUUAAGAUUAGGAGUCCAACUGCCCUGUAGGAAUUUCAAUGAAGAAGCCCCAUCAACCAUGGUAAAAAAAAGCAUCAAUCAAACAGUCAAAAAGACUUAAAGCAAGGACAUGGUGUAGGCAUUUACACUUACACG